GACGAACGCUGGCGGCGUGCUUAACACAUGCAAGUCGAACGGAAAGGCCCUGCUUUUGUGGGGUGCUCGAGUGGCGAACGGGUGAGUAACACGUGAGUAACCUGCCCUUGACUUUGGGAUAACUCCAGGAAACUGGGGCUAAUACCGGAUAGGAGCUCCUGCUGCAUGGUGGGGGUUGGAAAGUUUCGGCGGUUGGGGAUGGACUCGCGGCUUAUCAGCUUGUUGGUGGGGUAGUGGCUUACCAAGGCUUUGACGGGUAGCCGGCCUGAGAGGGUGACCGGCCACAUUGGGACUGAGAUACGGCCCAGACUCCUACGGGAGGCAGCAGUGGGGAAUAUUGCACAAUGGGCGGAAGCCUGAUGCAGCAACGCCGCGUGCGGGAUGACGGCCUUCGGGUUGUAAACCGCUUUCGCCUGUGACGAAGCGUGAGUGACGGUAAUGGGUAAAGAGGCACCGGCUAACUACGUG
rnacentral:rRNA from 1 species